AUUGAACGCUGGCGGCAGGCCUAACACAUGCAAGUCGAGCGGAUCGCCAGACGGGUGAGUAUUGCCUAGGAAUCUGCCUGGUCCUGGUGGGUAACGUCCGGAACCGGGCGCUAAUCCUGCUUCCUCUCAGACGAGCCUAGGUGGGAUUCGCUAGUGGGUGGGGUAAAGGCCUACCAAGGCGACGAACCGUAACUGGUCGGAGAGGAUGAUCAGUCACACUGGAACUGAGACACGGUCCAGACUCCUACGGGAGGCAGCAGUGGGGAAUAUUGGACAAUGGGCGAAAGCCUGAUCCAGCCAUGCCGCGUGUGUGAAGAAGGUCUUCGGAUUGUAAAGCACUUUAAGUUGGGAGGCGUUACCAGCAGAAUAAGCACCGGCUAACUUCGUGCCAGCCGCCGCGGUAAUAC
rnacentral:rRNA from 1 species